CUAUAGUUUAGUUAACUAUAGUCAAAUUUAGUGUGUUCCGCCGAGCCCAGUUCUUUUGCUCACAUGGUUCCUUUAUUCCCCACUGACCAGCCAGCAAGCUUCACUACAGGGGAAAGUGGAUUUCGUCGUUAUUUUACUAUUCAAUGCCCUUUAGAAGUUCCCACAUUAGAAAACUUAGGAUGUCGUUUGUUUAAAGAAGAACCUCGAGCUUUAAAUGAAAAGCUUAAAGGCUUAAAACAAAGGUGGAGACCUUUUAGCUGCACUGAAGCAAAAAUGUUUACUAAUUCAGAUUUGGAAAAAAUUGAAAUUGAAGGGGAAAAAAAUAAUUUUAAUCUAU